rnacentral:antisense_RNA from 1 species
CUGCCUCCUGGACUGAGUGCGGUAAUUGUACAUUUUUUCAUCCUACAUCUCAAGAGACCAAGGGACCUAAGUAAAUUGAUCUACUUGCCAAUGACUGUAAGAAAGACAAAGAAGUUGUAAAAACAUCCAAAUGAUGUUAAACAUAAAUUAGCUCAGAAUAGUUUGCAGAAGAUAAACUACCAGCGUCAAAGCAUGCAUUAAAAACUGGAAAGAAAUUAAAAGUGUGGUAUUGAAAGAUGUACAACUGACUUUGGAAAAAGGAUUCCUCUCUAAUUGGUGUUUGUAAGUGAUCGAAAUAAACAUUUUUAAACUAUCAU